CUAAGUUAAAUCAUAAUGCAAAUUAUGUCCAGUUUAUAGGCAAUGAAAUCCUAAAUAUUUUUUAACUUAUUCUGUACAGAGUAAAAGAAUACUUUUUUUUAUUUAAAGGAACACUAAUUUCAAAAAGUAAGAUGCCCAGCCAGCAACCCAGCUUCAAAUGAGACACAUUAUUUGUAUUGUAGAAUAUGAUAACGUUUUCUCUUGGCACUGCCUCUGUCCUUCUGCUUCUCUCAGAACAGGAAAUCUCUGACAGGGGUGCUGCUGAUUGGGCAAGAAGGUCAGCUGAAACCUCUAGCCAAUCCAUAGCUCCCAAUUCACAAAAAGCUUGAGAAACGUACAGAUUUUUCUCAAGCAGUUUUUUAGUAGAAUGGUUUGUCUUCUUACCUGCAACUGCUGGCAUCCACUUUCUGCCACUGUUGUAGCAAAGUUGGAAGCUCCUACUUAGAUUCCAUUUCCUGAGCUAGCCCAUUGGUUGAGUGUGUCAGCUAAGCCCUGCACCACCUGGCUUCGCUCUAUCAGACAGAACAAAACAGUUCUAAAAGCAUGCUAUAGAAGAUGUUAUGGUGCUUGGAGUUUUUGGUUCAAGGAUAGGUACCCAGACCACUUCAUUGCUAAGGAGGAUUGGGUGCAGUUCCCCACUCCUUGUUAGUCCUGCAAUGUAAAUCCUUGCAGGUUUUUGAGAAACUACAAUGAUUGCAUUGCAGGACUCCCGGCUGACUCUAGUGGCUGUCUGACAGCCACUCGGGGCACUUCCUGCUUACUAGGCGACUUAGUUGCCUAAAUGAUGCUGGAUGUCAAACUCUGCAUGAGGACAACCAGCAUCUGUUAAAUCCCCCACGGGAAAGCAUUGAAGCAAUGUUUUUCUAUGGGGAGGGCAUAAUGUUGGUCAGUUUCCAACAUUCAAAAUUUUUUUAUUAAAAAUUCCAUUGCAAGCAUAUAAGAUAUAAACCAAGUAAUGACUACUUUUUCUUGACAAAUUUUGAAAAAAAGUCAGCUUCCAUCAUCAAGUUUUUUUUGUCCGUUCUCACAGCCACCAUUAACUGCAGCUGUGGGGAAACUGGCGUCUUAUAGUGGAACCUCCAUGUACUCACACAUGCACGACACAAAGCAGUAUAUCACAGACAGGUCUGCCAGUGUUUGAAGUACCAGGUGUUGCAAAUGUUAGCGUCAACUAAGAUGGGGGACACAAAGAGCUUCAGGUAAAAAUAUUUAGAAGGUGGCAGAGGUGCUUUAAGUAAAUAACACCAAUAACGUUUAAUGUUUUUCCUGAUACAUUUGCCUGACUAGAAGAAAAGAAUCAUUAGUAGAUCUAAUAUUUCUGUAUAACUAACUAAACCCUUCCAUACUGUAUACAGCUUUAACCUGUGGAAUGCUGGCUAGGUACAUGCACACUUCUAUUGAACUCUGUUAAGCAUUGCAUGUGGG